CGUAAUACGGAGGGUGCAAGCGUUAAUCGGAAUUACUGGGCGUAAAGCGUACGUAGGUGGUUUGUUAAGUUGGAUGUGAAAGCCCAGGGCUCAACCUUGGAACUGCAUUCAAAACUGGCGAACUAGAGUAUGGUAGAGGUGAGUGGAAUUUCCUGUGUAGCGGUGAAAUGCGUAGAGAUGGGAAGGAACAUCAGUGGCGAAGGCGACUCCCUGGACCAAUACUGACACUGAGGUACGAAAGCGUGGGUAGCAAACAGGAUUAGAUACCCUGGUAGUCCACGCCGUAAACGAUGUCUACUAGCCGUUGGGGUCCUUGAGACUUUAGUGGCGCAGCUAACGCA
rnacentral:rRNA from 1 species